rnacentral:rRNA from 1 species
UCAGGAUGAACGCUAGCGGCAGGCUUAACACAUGCAAGUCGAGGGGUAACGACACUUUCGGGUGGUCGACGACCGGCGCACGGGUGCGUAACGCGUAUGCAACCUACCUAUAACAGGAGGAUAGCCCCGAGAAAUCGGGAUUAAUACUCCAUAGUAAUCGAAUCAGGCAUCUGAAAUGAUUUAAAGUUCCGGCGGUUAUAGAUGGGCAUGCGUGACAUUAGUUAGUUGGUGAGGUAAUGGCUCACCAAGACAUCGAUGUCUAGGGGGUCUGAGAGGAUGAUCCCCCACACUGGUACUGAGACACGGACCAGACUCCUACGGGAGGCAGCAGUGAGGAAUAUUGGUCAAUGGACGCAAGUCUGAACCAGCCAUGCCGCGUGCAGGAUGACGGCCCUAUGGGUUGUAAACUGCUUUUAUUAAGGAAUAAACUCUCGUUUCGUGAACGAGACUGAAGGUACUUAAAGAAUAAGCAUCG